AAGACUCUAGCUUAAUUAAAGUAUCUGGGUUGCAUUCAGAAGAUGCAGGGUAGCCUCCUGCGGGUCUUA
rnacentral:tRNA from 1 species